GACGAACGCUGGCGGCGUGCUUAAUACAUGCAAGUCGAGCGAGGUUACUGUUUUGGAUCCCUUCGGGGUGAAGAAGCUUUAACCUAGCGGCGGACGGGUGAGUAACGCGUGGGUAACCUACCCCAAAGUCCGGGAUAACAGCGGGAAACCGCUGCUAAUACCGGAUGCCUUUACCUUGGGGCAUCUUGAGGUAAAGAAAGGUAACGCUUUGGGAUGGGCCCGCGUCCCAUUAGCUAGUUGGUGAGGUAACGGCUCACCAAGGCGACGAUGGGUAGCCGGCCUGAGAGGGUGGACGGCCACACUGGGACUGAGACACGGCCCAGACUCCUACGGGAGGCAGCAGUAGGGAAUAUUGCGCAAUGGACGGAAGUCUGACGCAGCGACGCCGCGUGAGCGAUGAAGGUCUUCGGAUCGUAAAGCUCUGUCCUUGGGGAAGAAGGCGAAAGCUUGACGGUACCCAAGAAGAAAGCCCCGGCUAACUACGUGCCAGCAGCCGCGGUAAUACGUAGGGGGCGAGCGUUGUCCGGAAUUACUGGGCGUAAAGGGUGCGUAGGCGGCCCUUUAAGUCGGAUGUGAAAGCCCGCGGCUUAACCGCGGAAUGGCAUUCGAAACUGGAGGGCUUGAGUGUCGGAGAGGGUAGUGGAAUUCCCAGUGUAGCGGUGAAAUGCGUAGAUAUUGGGAGGAACACCAGUGGCGAAGGCGACUACCUGGACGAUAACUGACGCUGAGGCACGAAAGCUAGGGGAGCAAACAGG
rnacentral:rRNA from 2 species